UGCCGGUAAUAAACACACGCACUGGUUCAGUCCUUUAUUAAUUUAAUUUAUAUAGUUUUUUGUUAAAUUAUUUCAUUGCACUCUUGCAAUCUCUUCAGUAACUUGUCUCUCCACUUCCAUUUAUUUUGAAUAUAUGAUCUGGCGUUGUUUUGGCGUUGUUUCGAAACUGUUUGGUAUGAGCAUGUGAGUGUGUGCAAGUUCGUAUGUGUGCACGCUCAUAUGUGUGCACGCACUUAUGUGUUCGUGCUUAUAUGUAAGUAUGUGCGUCCAUAUGUGUGUUUGUAACAAUUUCGUUUAUAUCAGAUCAGAUAGAGACUUUUUGAAAAACUAUCAACGAUUGAAUCAUUUUAUGUUCAUCAUUUUAUGUUCAUCAUGACAUGAAGAAGCUGUAAUGAAUACUCUAGAAACAAAUGAAAGAUAUGGAUUAGUAUUCCUGAAAGAAAAUUGUCUAGUUAUACUAAACUCAUGAAAGUCAUUUGACUUCGGCCAUGCUGGAGCACCACCUUUUUGUCGAAGAAAUUGUCCCCAGGACUUAUUCUUUGUAAGUCUGGUACUUAUUCUACAGGCUCCAGCUGCCAACAGGUUCCAGCAAGGAAGGAUUUUGUACACAAAGUAAAUCCCUUUUACACCAAACAGAAAAAUUCUUCAGGACGGUGGACUCCAAGUAUAGAACGUAAUCUCCACAAGAAUCGUCUUUGAUGGUGUGUUCACUUUGCUAGAGUAUAUAAUCAAUCUGUCUCGAAAUAACUAUUUUACUGCGAAAAUUUUCCUGAAUAUUGGCUCCUAUGCAAACCAAACGCUCGUUACGAUGACAGGCUAAAAAGUUCUCCAAAGGAAACAUGCCAGUCAAUGACUAGGAAGAACUGGAGCAUGACAGACCCCUUGGAGGAACAUUUAAUCUAAAACUGCCAAACAAAACGAAAUAGAAUAUAAGACCAAAAACUUAAACGUAUGCCUUGUGUAAAUGAAAAUAUUGAUAUCCCGUAAAAAGCAGAUUUUCAUGUGUAAGGUCUGUGAGAGAUUCUGCCUUUCUAAAUUAAGACUAGCUUGUCAUCUAAGAUCGCACAAAUCUACCUAAGCUACAGGUUACGAUAUGGGAAAUGCUGUCCUAUCCAAAAAACUGUGCUCUUGUUGCCCAUACUCUUGAAAAUAUUUGAAGAGUUAGAGACAGCUUCUUUGCUGCUAUGAAGAACUUUGGUCCCAUAAUCAUCAUAAAGAAAAUUGAAAUCAUGCAUCAAAGUAUACCUAGAGCUAGAUGCUUCCUGAGUAAUUUUGUGACCACUCUGGAUGCAAAUGACCAGUGUAGAUUCCAGAAAACUGGCUACAGGUUUCGAUAUCUUGUACAGAAUUGGCAAAGCAAUUUUUGCUUUUGAGGGUCAGGGAAAUUGGCUUUGGAAUGAUUUAGAUAUUUCACUACAUACGAUGAUUCAAAAUAUAAAACAGUUGUACUAAGUACACUAUUCUGUGGGAUAGAAUUAUAGACUCUAUCUAUUGUAUAGAUAGAUGAAAUAAUUUAACCGUUCCUAUCUUCAUUGUUUUCACAAAAUCUGAAAGCCAAAUGGCCGGACAUAAUACCCGAUACAAAAGUCAUAUCACGUCACAAAAUCAGUGGUAUUCAACUUUUACAAUUGAAACGUAAACUUCGUAGAUAUGGCGUUCGGGCUUCGAUACAAAACGAUUGCAUUCCCAAACCAAACUUUUACAGUCAGCUUAACAGAGAUAAGUAUUGUGCUGAAGAACAAAUGAAGGGAUUUAAAGAUUACUUGAGGCAAAAUUUGAUGAUGUGUCAUAUAAGUGAAGCCUGCGACUUCUGUUUCAGUUUCAGCGUUUAAUUGUGGUGACUGAUAAACUCUCUUCACAAAUGCCGUUGAAGCCCUUGUAGCGAAAAGAAUCUGAAAGGAUGCCCAAAGGCAGGAGUGGCUGUGUGGUAAGUAACUUGCUUACCAACCUCAUGGUUUCGGGUUCAGUCCCACUGCGUGGCACCUUGAGCAAGUGUCUUCUACUAUAGCCUCGGGCCGACCAAAGCCUUGUGAGUGGAUUUGGUAGACGGAAACUGAAAGAAGCCCGUCGUAUAUAUAUAUAUAUAUAUAUAUGUGUGUGUGUGUGUGUGUGUGUGUGUGUGUGUGUGUGUGUGUGUGUGUGUGUGUGUGUGUGUGUGUUUGUGUGUCUGUGUUUGUCCCCCACCAUCGCUUGACAACUGAUGUUGGUGUGUUUACGUUCCCGUAACUUAGCGGUUCGGCAAAAAGAGACUGAUAGAAUAAGUACUAGGCUUACAAAGAAUAAGUCCUGGGGUCGAUUUUCUCGACUAAAGGCGAUGCUCCAGCAUGGCCGCAGUCAAAUGACUGAAACAAUUAAAAGAGUAAAGGAACCAAAAUUGAUUUCGAUGUCUUGUAGCUUUUUCUUCUUGGUCACUCAAAACUAUGACUUCCUAAUUCUUAGGUAGGCUUUUAUAUGUGUAUUUAUGUAUGUAUGUAUGUAUGUAUGCAUGUUAACAUCCUCGUUCUGGCCUAUAUUAGCCAUAUAGACUCAAUUGUUGAGCGUCAAGAGGAAGGUUGCAUCACAAAUAUUUUUCCAGUGACCAAUUUACAACAGUGUAAAUGGUGAAUUACACACAAUCACUAAUAUAAAUAACAGUGGGAAUUUUUUCUUUUUCUAAUGGAUAAAAUAGAGUUCUGAAAACUUAUCGCUGCUAUUAUGUUAAACUGUCGUAUGUCAAAAUUUGGCCAAAUGCGUUUUUUCUUUUUGUUAAUUUUUAUUUUUGCUUGCAAUAGCCGGUACUUUCGGUCAAACUAUCAUAUCUCCAGCUGCUUCAGAUACCAAGAUAUGAAAAAUUGUCAAAGUGUACUACAACGGUUUUGCUAUGGAAUGAUGAGACAAUUUUUUCGUUUUCUGAAAAAGCAACGUUUUAGACUUACAACACAUUUGUAUUAUAAGAACGAUAUAUUUUCUCCGUUGCCUUAGUUACAAAUUAAUAGUUUCCUAAUAUUUUCCUCUGUUAUUAAUGCUAAAUAAAUAUUAUGCAAUUAGUUGUAUUUAAUUUAGUUGUGAGGUUUGAUCUGAGAGACUGCCUGAAAAAUAAACAUUUUUUUCUCCUAUUAUUUCGCAUUCAGUUCUUUUGUCUAAAUGAAGAGGCGCUAGUGGAAUCAUGUUUAGUUUGUGUUCAGAGUAUUAAUUAGCUUUAAUCACACCCUAUCUUUAGGGUAAUAAGUGUUAUGUACUAAGUGUCCUAAACAAGAAUACACUUCCCACGUUAGCAUCAGCAAAAACAUCGAAUUUUGGAUCCUAACUCAUUUGCGGUUCAUUGUUGUCCCUGUAGUCGAUGUUGUUGACGGCAAGAAAGUUUAUAAUGAUAAUACGUACGAUA